CGUGCAGGCGGUUCCGUAAGUCGGACGUGAAAGCUCCUGGCUUAACUGGGAGAGGUCGUUCGAUACUGCGGGACUUGAGGUUGGGAGAGGGACGUGGAAUUCCCGGUGUAGUGGUGGAAUGCGUAGAGAUCGGGAGGAACACCAGUGGCGAAGGCGGCGUCCUGGCCCACACCUGACGCUAAGACGCGAAAGCGUGGGGAGCAAACG
rnacentral:rRNA from 1 species